UACGUAGGGGGCGAGCGUUGUCCGGAAUCAUUGGGCGUAAAGAGCGUGUAGGCGGCUUGGCAAGUCUGACGUGAAAGCCCGCGGCUCAACCGCGGAUUGUCGUUGGAAACUGCCUCGCUAGAGUCCGGAAGAGGAGAGCGGAAUUCCUGGUGUAGCGGUGGAAUGCGCAGAUAUCAGGAAGAACACCCGUGGCGAAGGCGGCUCUCUGGGACGG
rnacentral:rRNA from 1 species